CAUUACCGAGUUUACAACUCCCAAACCCCUGUGAACAUACCAAUUGUUGCCUCGGCGGAUCAGCCCGCUCCCGGUAAAACGGGACGGCCCGCCAGAGGACCCCUAAACUCUGUUUCUAUAUGUAACUUCUGAGUAAAACCAUAAAUAAAUCAAAACUUUCAACAACGGAUCUCUUGGUUCUGGCAUCGAUGAAGAACGCAGCAAAAUGCGAUAAGUAAUGUGAAUUGCAGAAUUCAGUGAAUCAUCGAAUCUUUGAACGCACAUUGCGCCCGCCAGUAUUCUGGCGGGCAUGCCUGUUCGAGCGUCAUUUCAACCCUCAAGCCCCCGGGUUUGGUGUUGGGGAUCGGCGAGCCCUUGCGGCAAGCCGGCCCCGAAAUCUAGUGGCGGUCUCGCUGCAGCUUCCAUUGCGUAGUAGUAAAACCCUCGCAACUGGUACGCGGCGCGGCCAAGCCGUUAAACCCCCAACUUCUGAAUGUUGACCUCGGAUCAGGUAGGAAUACCCGCUGAACUUAAGCAUAUCAAUAAGCGGAGGAAAAGAAACCAACAGGGAUUGCCCUAGUAACGGCGAGUGAAGCGGCAACAGCUCAAAUUUGAAAUCUGGCUCUCGGGCCCGAGUUGUAAUUUGUAGAGGAUACUUUUGAUGCGGUGCCUUCCGAGUUCCCUGGAACGGGACGCCAUAGAGGGUGAGAGCCCCGUCUGGUUGGAUGCCAAAUCUCUGUAAAGUUCCUUCGACGAGUCGAGUAGUUUGGGAAUGCUGCUCUAAAUGGGAGGUAUAUGUCUUCUAAAGCUAAAUACCGGCCAGAGACCGAUAGCGCACAAGUAGAGUGAUCGAAAGAUGAAAAGCACUUUGAAAAGAGAGUUAAAAAGUACGUGAAAUUGUUGAAAGGGAAGCGUUUAUGACCAGACUUGGGCUUGGUUAAUCAUCUGGGGUUCUCCCCAGUGCACUUUUCCAGUCCAGGCCAGCAUCAGUUUUCCCCGGGGGAUAAAGACUUCGGGA
rnacentral:rRNA from 1 species